rnacentral:misc_RNA from 1 species
UUUUGCUUCAUUGGGGUCGCCUGCACAGCCAUUAGAAGUACUUCCAUAAACUGGAUUAGUGCCUAUUGCUUCUGCAUAUGAUUCUGAAGCAAAAAUCAAAUCAUCUUCUUAGGAGAAAAGUUAAUACUAAUUGAUCGGGAUUUUGUGCCACCAAGACUUAGUUCAUGGCCAAAAAUUUUUGGGCAUGCUCUUGCCUGAACAGCAUUUGAUGCCCCAAAUAUAGUUUUUUUUCCACAAGAUUGUGCUCUUCAGGAAUUGACUUGAUUGAACCAAGCUCCACAACUCCAGACUUGACAGGUAAAAACACUACUGUUUGGAGUCCAGCUGACCUUGCUAAAACUGAUCUCAAUUGAUACUGCUCUAAACAACUAAUCAUAUCUGAAGCCCAAAUUGAUCUACCAGACUUAUAUGACUCUGCAGGAGCAUAUGAUGAAUCACAGAGGAAAGUAAAAUACAUAGAAAUGAGGUAAAACAUUUCCAAAUCCGAAACCCUAUCCAAAUUUGCUGCAUAAUUAUCCCCAUCUAACACAUUAAAGCAAGCAUGCAGCUUUUGAAGCACAAUCUUCUUCACUUCCUCUCUUUUCUCAACUGCCUCAAAUUUGCUAUCCCCAA